rnacentral:lncRNA from 1 species
ACAGCACUAAAUAGUACUCUACUAAGUAGUAAAAAGUGUUCAGAAGAAGAAAUAGAACAACGAGGGAGCUUAGCUAAGCUAGCUACUAGUAGUUAUAGCUGUCGACAUGGACUUGUGGAAAGUGAUAGCGGAGGACAGAACAUGCCAAGCAGAUGUUCUUUUCUGCACUUCUGGCUUCUUCCCUUCGCCAGCUCACUCUUCA